rnacentral:lncRNA from 1 species
CUCUCUUGCUCUUGCUUGCUUGCACUGAUGAAGUAAGCUGCCACGUUGUGAGAUGCUCAACGAAGAGGCCCAUGAGGCAGGGCACCGAGGGAGGCUUCUGGCCAACAGCUCCUGGGGAACCAAGGCCUUAGGAAGUGAGUCCUGCCAACAAUAACGAGAGCCUUGAACUUUGAAACCACAGUACCUUGUUCCAGCGUGGAAAGCAGCGUGGCACUUCCCGGUGGUGAAAGCACCCCAGCUUGAAAGGGUGAAAACACCUUCUCCCAGAUAGUCUCCCUUUGUUUAGCCAGUGCUUUUGCCUUAAGGAAAUCAAAUGAAGUGUAUGAAAUAGCGGCUGACUUUUGUGACAAUUUUCCACCCAGUUUUGUGAUAGUAAUU